UACGAAGGGGGCUAGCGUUGCUCGGAAUCGCUGGGCGUAAAGCGCACGUAGGCGGACUCUUAAGUCGGUGGUGAAAUCCUGGAGCUCAACUCCAGAACUGCCUUCGAUACUGGGAGUCUCGAGUCCGAGAGAGGUGAGUGGAACUGCGAGUGUAGAGGUGAAAUUCGUAGAUAUUCGCAAGAACACCAGUGGCGAAGGCGGCUCACUGGCUCGGUACUGACGCUGAGGUGCGAAAGCGUGGGGAGCAAACAGG
rnacentral:rRNA from 1 species